rnacentral:rRNA from 1 species
UACAGAGGGGGCAAGCGUUGUUCGGAAUUACUGGGCGUAAAGGGCGCGUAGGCGGCCUUCUAAGUCGAACGUGAAAUCCCCGGGCUCAACCCGGGAACUGCGUCCGAUACUGGAAGGCUUGAAUCCGGGAGAGGGAUGCGGAAUUCCAGGUGUAGCGGUGAAAUGCGUAGAUAUCAGGAGGAACACCAAUGGCGAAGGCAGCUCUCUGGUACGUGACUGACGCUGAGACGCGAAAGCGUGGGGAGCGAACAGG